UGCACGUGAUGUUGUUCUCUCACGAUGGUCUCCCAAGCCCCGGGUGAAGGGGCUGUGACGACGCUGCCACGUGGCUCUGCUGAUGCUCAGUG
rfam:Caprimulgus carolinensis contig114608, whole genome shotgun sequence.